rnacentral:lncRNA from 1 species
UGAUGCAGAUGGUAGCAAGCAGAGCAAAGCCUUCGGUGUAUAUAUGUAUAAUUUAGGCUCGGGAUUUCAUGUCCUCACACAUGUAAUCCACUUGAGUUGAGUUAUUUCCGCUGCAACACUUAAUGUACCUUAGUCUAUUGAUGUGUUGUAGAGAUUUUAAACCAAUAGCUUCGAGAAUUAUAUCAUUUAGACAACUUGUCGUUGUGUUAUUGUAAGUUGUCUACUCGUGAGUUUUAAAAGUGAUUGUAUAUGAUUACCAGACAUUAUGGCAAAGUAUUGCUUAAGUAAAAUAAUUAUUUUUAUUGAAAC